UGGGGGAGACGAGGACGAGGUCGGGGACGACGAGGGGACGAGGGGGGAGCGCGCGAUCGGGGAAGGGCCUGGGCUGGGGUCGCGCCGCGCGCCGGGGCGCGUCCGGAUGCUCAGGCCCGGGAGGAGGCGGCUUCCUUCGUCGCAGGUCUUAGGGUCCGGGCGCAGUCGCCGCCUGCGUGGAGCUCAGUAGCGCCUCCUUGGCGGGUCUAAGGACAGGCGGGGUCCUCCCGCGGCUUAGAAAUGCUGUCUGGGCGGUCGUGCGGGGGUAGUGGGAGGCCACAGGCCUAACCGGCCUCGCCCUGGGGGUGGGCGCUCGGGGGCCCACGCCAAGCUAGAUGCGGCAACUACAGGAAGCGUGCCUUUGGGCAUCAGGUCGCCUCUCGGAUCCCCUGUCCCUCCCUCAGCUGGGCUGGCCCUGCUGUCCUCUCGGAAUUAAGCUUGAGGGGGGGGCAGGUACCCACGGGAGAUGUGGGCCCUGAAGAACCCAGCAUAGAAAUAGCCGCCAUGGCCUCUGCUUAUAGGCGAGUCCCGAGGACCAGGCGGGGAGGCAGGUGUGGCAUGCUCACUCUUCAGGGGGACAGACAGGCACGGGGGAUUCAGCAGUAAGGGAUGGAGCCAACAUUUGAACCAGGCAGUCUAGGUCCAGGGGUUCCGCUGUGCAUGCACAUCCGGGCUGAGGACAGAUUUCCCCUAAGAAGGCAUGUCUUGGUCACAGAUGGCAGAGGUGUGGCUCAGAAGCCCGCCAGGGUUCAGCCCUUUGCUGCCCAUUGGAGUACUGUAUGUGUCUCUGCCUGGGCUGUGAGCUGCAGAGAGCAGCUAGGGGUCCCACAGCCCCACAGCCCCUGGCCCAGGUGCUCAUGGCCAGCUUGCAAGGGGAGGCGGGGGGGAUGCUGGAGUGUGAGCUGCCUAGGGAACCACUAGGGCCCAGGGGGCCUGCAGGCAGGGAAGGCUGGCUGGAGGAGGAGGUCUUCCUCUUAGGGCCCUGGGAGAAAGCUGCGGGGAGAGGGCAGACCACUGAGCCUUUCCCUCCUGAGCAGGCCCAAAGAGAGGGAGCUGCUGUUCUGAGCCCUUUGCAGAGACAUCACCCCUGUGCCCCAGAUUCUCUUCAUCACCCCGCCCAGCUCGACCUGGGAGCCUUCCCUGGCCACCCAGCUAAAUGGACGACCAGCCUGCCCUCAGAGCAGGCCCGCCCCUCUCAGCUCCAGGAGGCCAUGACAUGUCCCGGUGUAGAACUGGUGCUGGAAACGGUCUCUGCACGUAGUAAGCAUCGCGAUCUUUGCCUCUGUCUCAGAUUUAUCAAUGAAGAAGCUGUGCUCAGGUUGAGUAAAGUGCCUAAAGGCACAGGGCUCGGAAGUGACAGAGGUCUGACUCCAAGGGCCCAAGCUGCCUGCCUCCCGUCCUUCCUCCCGGCCCAGCCCAGCUUCUCCUUGGCUUCUCCCUACAGACGGGGGGAGGGCGAGUCCACGUCCUCGCCUGUGCCUCGCAUUGGGCAGCCACAGGUACAGGUCUGAUCCUGCCCGCCCUGCUUCACUCCUCCCUGGGAGCCCGGCCCGCUUCAGGCGGGGCGCGCGGAGCCGGGAGCGCGCGGAGCCGGGAGCGCGAGGGCGGGGGGUGGGCUGGGAGUCCGAGCCCCGCCCCCGGCAAGCGUACCUGCUCUCGCCGCCCCGCCCCCUCCCUCGCUCCCUCCCGGGGCGGCUGCUCGAAGGCGCAGAAAUGUGGAUGUGGAACUUCUCUGCGAGCCUUGCGCCAGCGCCACGCGGGGGCUGGUGGCGGCUCUGCUGCGUGGGAAGAAGGAGGAAGGACACGGCCCGCGGGCGGGGUCUGGGGAGCACCGGCCUUCCUGCCCAGGCCUCUUCCCCUGGGCUGGGCCCCUCCUGCCCCUGCUGGCCUGUUCAUUUAGAGACCCUUUCCUGCCAUACAUCAGCUCGCAAAGCCCUGUAGCCUGGGUGGGGGCCCAGAGCGGACUCAGACCGGCCAGGCCCUCAAGGAGCUCUGUGGGGGUGACAGCGCCACCAACUGCAGGACACCCGGGAAGCCCUGGGGCAGGACCACCCCCUUGCCGUCCCUUUUUCACUCAGCGACUCGAAGCGCAUGGGCCAGGCCCGGGGGCUCUCAGUGGCCAUUACUGGCUGGACUGUGUCCCCUUAAGAUUCACAGGUUGAAGCCCUAACCCCCAGGACCUCAGAAUGGGACUGUAUUUGGAGACGGGGCCUUCUAAGAGGUGAUUAAGGUAAAAUGAGGUCAUGUGGGUGGGCCCUAAUCCAGUUCCACUGGUGCCCUUGUAAGAGGAAAUUUGGACAUGCAGUGACAAGGGGCACUCAAAGAGGCAGCGAGAAGUUGGUGAUCCGCAAGCCGAGGAGAGAGGCCUCGGAAAAAACCAAGUCUGCCAGCACCUUGACCUUGGCCUUUCAGCCUCUGUGAACUGGAGCCCCGGGGAAACAAUUUUCUGAUAUUUAAGCCACUCAGUCAGUGGUAUUUUGCAAUCCUAGCAAAGUGACAUAGUGGCCUUCCACGCUGGGGGGCCUGUAGUUCUGUGCUCCGUAAGGAGGGGGCCUGGCCUGUACAAGAUCCCACGCUCCUGCCCAGGGGGAGGAAGAAAUGAAGUGAAGGCCAAGUCUUCAGAACACGUGCUUCGGUCACCCGAGCUGAUGGGGACAGGGUUGGGUGGGCGUCAGGCCCGACGUGAGACUGAGCACAGCACGGGAAGGAAGGAGGCAGCUUUGCCCUCCAGCAGCUGCCGGGCUCUGCUGUGUGCCCGGAGCUGGCUGCGAAGGCCUCUGACAGAGCAUCCAACACAAGCCUUCGAAAGGCUGCGGCGACCCAGCUCUCCUGAUGACCUCCAGGCCACCUCGCUCACCUCCGCCCUGCUGGGUACACCUUUCCUGUGCUGGGCCCUGGCCACGUGCCCUUCCCCCGUGUCUACCUGGGAAACUCCUGCUCAGCUUCUCCGUCACCCCAAUCCCCUCCCUCCAUGUCCCCGGGUCCCUGGCAGCUCGCUCCCUGGGGCUUCCAGCAGGGCUGCCACACAUGGCCUCAGUCCCACCUGCGGUCUGCAGGGCACUGCUGGUGCCUCAACCUGUCCCUGGUCUGCUGUGCGCACAGCCGGCCCCAGCCCUCCACAGGGGCUGGGUGUGCCCUGGCUGCCUGCUUGGCCAGAAAGCGUGGGCUCAGCCCAGCAGCCAGGCCCCCCGACAGGCCCCUGUCCAGUCUGCAGCCUUGGGCUGCGGCCCGAGUCUGGGCAGCUCGUCUAAGCCGGACGUCCUCCCCAGCAGUGGCCAACGCUUGCUGCCCUGCGCUGUGCCUGCCAGGCUCCCUCACACGUGGGCUGCCUGGCCCCUGAUGUCUUGUCUAGGCACAUGGCACUGCCACCCAACACCUACAAGUGUCCCGCUCACUGGGCACCCAUGCCAGAGGCCCAGCGGCCCCUCCCGCACAGAGAGCCCUGGCACCAGCAGCACCUUCUAGCAUCAACCCUUGCAUGGCCUCUGACCUACUUUCCCUCUGUCCUGGGAGCCCCUGGCCUUGUUUAUGGUGACAGCUGCCUCGCGUCUUCCCAGUCAGCCACACGACUUGACAGCAGGACGCUGCGGGUGGGGCGGGAGGGCACCACACACUGGCCAGCAGCAAUGCCGCCCUCUGCCCUCCGCUCUGGAGGAGGAGAUGUCCACCUGCCGCCCGUCGGGGCUGCUGAGCAGAAGCGGGAAGAUCAGCUGUCCCAGGAGUCUUGUCGGAAGCCCUUUGUCUCCCAGUGCGUUUCGUCAGUUACCCAUCUAACAGGCCUGGAUGAAGUCAUGACCACGGCUUCCUGCUAGAGGCGUUUUGCAGAUUAUACGCGAGAUGUCAAGUUCUCUGGACCUGGAUUGUCUGGGAAAGUCCCCUGUCACCUUCAGCAGGGCAAUGGCAGCCUGGCAAGCAAAUGACCCACAUGGGGACAGCAUCCGCUCAGCCCUGUCACCAUAUCAAGCAGGCUCGAACCCCGCUCUAGCAGCAGACUGGCCCCUGAGCCUCAAGUCCCUCGUCUGUGAAACGGGGACAAUCAGCUUUGCCGCCAAAGAAUGCUGUGAACUGGGUCCCACCUGACAGCAGAGAUCAAUCGACACGGGGCAUGGCGGCCCCAAACCCCGUUUCCCGGCUGAGGUCUGCAAAUUGUGAGAUGCCUUCUUCCACUGGGAGUGUAAUCAUGGCCUCAGGGCGCCCCGCACUUCCAGUGUCCCCCAGUUCCUCCAGACCUCGACUCGACGCCCUUUCCCAGCCCUGGGCCAGGCCGGACCCUCCACUAGGAGUACUCGGAGCCAAGGCCCUCGGUAAACCCCGUUUCUGGGCCCACCGGAUCACCUGUGCCCACGCCAGGCGUGACCUCACCGCCGGACACUUGAACGUGCCGCUUCCUCGAAACAUUUCAUCUGCGACCCCUAUAGGCUGGAUCUCCCUUCGCUCCCGUCUCCGCUCGAAUGAGAGCGACUUUCCCACCCGCCCCCUCCCCUAAUCGCUCUCCACCGCUCCCCCUUUUUAUUUGGAAAGCAUU